rnacentral:rRNA from 1 species
GACGAACGCUGGCGGCGUGCUUAACACAUGCAAGUCGAACGGAAAGGCCCUGCUUUUGUGGGGUGCUCGAGUGGCGAACGUGUGAGUAACACGUGAGUAACCUGCCCUUGACUGUGGGAUAACUUCAGGAAACUGGGGCUAAUACCUGAUAGGAGCUCGUGCUGCAUGGGGGGGUUUGGAAAGUUUCGGCGGUUGGGGAUGGACUCGCGGCUUAGCAGCUUGUUGGUGGGGUAGUGGCUUACCAAGGCUUUGACGGGUAGCCGGCCUGAGAGGGUGACCGGCCACAUUGGGACUGAGAUACGGCCCAGACUCCUACGGGAGGCAGCAGUGGGGAAUAUUGCACAAUGGGCGGAAGCCUGAUGCAGCAACGCCGCGUGCGGGAUGACGGCCUUCGGGUUGUAAACCGCUUUCGCCUGUGACGAAGCGUGAGUGACGGUAAUGGGUAAAGAAGCACCGGCUAACUACGUG